AUUGAACGCUGGCGGAAUGCUUUACACAUGCAAGUCGAACGGCAGCACGGACUUCGGUCUGGUGGCGAGUGGCGAACGGGUGAGUAAUGUAUCGGAACGUGCCCAGUCGUGGGGGAUAACGUAGUGAAAAUUACGCUAAUACCGCAUACGAUCUAUGGAUGAAAGCGGGGGAUCGCAAGACCUCGCGCGAUUGGAGCGGCCGAUAUCAGAUUAGGUAGUUGGUGGGGUAAAGGCCCACCAAGCCAACGAUCUGUAGCUGGUCUGAGAGGACGACCAGCCACACUGGAACUGAGACGCGGUCCAGACUCCUACGGGAGGCAGCAGUGGGGAAUUUUGGACAAUGGGCGAAAGCCUGAUCCAGCCAUUCCGCGUGCAGGAUGAAGGCCCUCGGGUUGUAAACUGCUUUUGUGCAGAACGAAAAGGUUUCUACUAAUACUAGGAGCUCAUGACGGUACUGUAAGAAUAAGCACCGGCUAACUACGUGCCAGCAGCCGCGGUAA
rnacentral:rRNA from 1 species